rnacentral:rRNA from 1 species
CCACCGCGGUUAUACGAGAGGCCCAAGUAGAUAGUCAACGGCGUAAAGAGUGGUUAGAAGAAACCCGUUACUAAAGCCGAACGCCCUCAAAGCUGUUAUACGCACCCGAGGGUGAGAAGCCCACCCACGAAAGUGGCUUUACAACUUUGAACCCACGAAAGCUAUGACACAAACUGGGAUUAGAUACCCCACUAUGCUUAGCCUUAAACAUUGACAACAACAUACACCUGUUGUCCGCCUGGGUACUACGAGCAUUAGCUUAAAACCCAAAGGACUUGGCGGUGCUUUAGACCCACCUAGAGGAGCCUGUUCUAGAACCGAUAACCCCCGUUCAACCUCACCCUUCUUUGUUUUUCCCGCCUAUAUACCGCCGUCGUCAGCUUACCCUGUGAAGGGCCUAUAGUAAGCAAAAUUGGUACAACCCUAAACGCCAGGUCGAGGUGUAGCGUAUGGAAGGGGAAGAAAUGGGCUACAUUCUCUAACAUAGAGAAAACGAAUGAUGUACUGAAAUAUAUAUCUGAAGGAGGAUUUAGCAGUAAGCAGGAAGUAGAGUGUUCCGCUGAAAUUGGCCCUGAAGCGCGCACACACCGCCCGUCACUCUCCCCAAACUAAUUUAACUCAAUUAAAUAAAACUCCAAUACAGUAAAGGGGAGGCAAGUCGUAACAUGGUAAGUG